rnacentral:rRNA from 1 species
UAUGUGAUCGUCUCUCGCAUAUCAAUAAGCGGAGGAAAAGAAACUAACAAGGAUUCCCCUAGUAACGGCGAGUGAAGCGGGAAGAGCUCAAAUUUGAAAUCUUAAAGGGUUUCCCUUUACGAAUUGUAGUUUAAAGAAGUGUUUUCUGUUGAGGUUUUGGUAAAAGUUCUUUGGAAUUAGGACAUCAUAGAGGGUGAGAAUCCCGUAUUUGACCUUUACUUUCAACUUUGUGAUACACUUUCAAAGAGUCGGAUUGUUUGGGAAUGCAGUCCAAAAUGGGUGGUAAGUUUCAUCUAAAGCUAAAUAUUGGCGAGAGACCGAUAGCGAACAAGUACCGUGAGGGAAAGAUGAAAAGAACUUUGAAAAGAGAGUUAAACAGUACGUGAAAUUGUCAAAAGGGAAGCGUUUGACACCAGUGUUGUUUUUCUGAAAAUCAAUUAAAGAACUGUUUAUGCUAAGUUGUUUAGACUUUAUCAGCUAAUCUGCUUAGUUUUGAGCUUUUCUUUAAUGCACUUUUCAGUUAACAAGUCAACAUCAAUUUCUUUUGCUGUAAAAAAGCUUGAGGAAGGUGGCUUGAGAUUCGUCUUAAGUGUUUAUAGCCUCUUGCCUAUGCAGUCGGAGAGAUUGAGGUCUGCAGCGUAGAUCCUUCGGGGCUAAAUGCAUUUGUGCUAAGUUAUAGCAUUUUAUAGACAACUUGUUGACUAUGAUUUGUCUUGUAGCUUACUCGCUUAUGUUAUUUUACCUACGCUUAGGAUGUUGAGUAGCGACAUACGCAC